AUAGGUAUUAUGAUAAAAUUUAUGUAUAAGUGGCAUAUGAUGUUUAUAAUAGAAUUGACGAGUGAUAUCUUAGAUUUCAAGUAGCAAGGUUGACCUGAGUACGAGAAGUGUUAACCCUAGAAUGAAGUGGGAGGUAUUGAUAUAUUAUGUUAGGUAUAUUUGAUGACAUUGGAAUGCUAAACCUAUACGGAUAAAGGACAUGAUAACUUUGCUGAUUUUGAUGUUAAUUUUUUUGCAAAGAAAAGUUGGUU
rnacentral:lncRNA from 1 species